GUAGUCGUGGCCGAGUGGUUAAGGCGAUGGACUAGAUAUCCAUUGGGAUAAUCCCGCGUAGGUUCGAAACCUACCGACUACG
rnacentral:tRNA from 1 species